ACAUGCUCGUUAACAAACGAGCUGGCAGCCCUGGAGCCUUUAAUGAUAUUCGAUUAUUGUCAGCUGAUCAGAUUGUGUUUAUCGAUAUUCCAGCUUUUGUUUGCCUUUGUUUAUGUUAUUGGCGUCAUAUGCGGAUAAGUUGUAAGAGAAUAGUAUCAGUGAAAGUGAAUUACUCUUCGGAAAUAAGCCACGUUGCUGACUAUGUUAUUCGUGUGUCCACGGGUGCCAAAGCACGGGCGUGCGAAAGCGAUCGAGAUACUUCCAACGCGUCACUGCCCCGAGAUGACGGCCCGCGUGGCGGAGUGAAUUUCUGGAGUUGGCGUUCCGCGAGGAAUACUUGAAAUACAUAGGAUGAAGAAUUCUGUAAUCAAUCAUUGGCUUCAAGUAAUGCUGAACUUAAGAUAUCAGGUACACACUACCCAUUCAUAUGAAAAGCUUCAGCCCGUCAAAUGAGUCACUGCCAGCAUUCUCAACACAGCGUUUCCCUUUGAAUAAUCUUGGCUAAAGCCCAUUUCGUUCAGUGCAGCCUAGGCGGACACACCGCAAAACUUUUCCGUGUGGUUUUGUGUAUUCCAUUCUAAUAAGUCGCCAGCUAUCUAACAAUUCAAAUCUAAGAAAAUUUCAAAAUUCAAUUUGCACUGUGGUGCGGUGUUGCUGUGUCGCUGUGUUGAUGGGGGAGUGAACAACAAAAGACCACCUCAUCUAGAAACUCCCUCGGUUUUGUCCCUUCUCAUCAUCAGCAGCCAUUUCCGCAACCACACCACCCGAUGCGAUGCGACGGCAAAGUGAACAAACAUUUCUGAAAACUUACUUGAAUAGAUUAUUAGGAAUUAUCAAAACUUAAUUUAGCUUAAGAGUGCUCAAUGUAAAGGGGGCAGGGCAAGCGGGCGGGACGUGGCAUGCGGGCUGCUAAUGAAUACCGCCCGAGUUCAGGAACAGGUGACAAACAAUCAGUGACUGCAGCACUUGAAAGGCGGCUUUUGAAGUGGUUGCCAUUGAGAAAACUUUUGACUUGAAAGAGGGGACUCCGACCUGGUCGGGGACGCUGUGGCCAUUGAUCUUGUCAUGUCUUUGUUGUGGACUCUGGUAAGUCCCCGACUAAGCGGCUUAGGGCACUCUGCGCUCGUGGAACUUAAAAGUUUAGCACAUGCGACUUAAGCGCUAAAAGAAAUAACAUCAACUGCUUGGCUGUCAUCACAGCGGGACUGCGUUUAUUAACUAGACUCGGAGAUGGACGCUGACAUGGACAUGAACACGGACAGGGAUCGAUCUAAUGAGGCUGCCAGCUGGCGGCAGUGUCUGGGAUUGGCCGGGUCUGCCAUAUCCAGCUGUGUAAUCGGCUUCAAUUAAAUCAAGCCAAACGACACCGGCAAUUUGAACGUUCGCUUUUGUGCUCCCCACGGGCACGGACAAGGAGCUUGCAGCUAAAUAGAAUCCAGCCAAUGUCGGAGUUGGAGUUGGAGUCAUGGCGACCUUUUAGCAGCGCUUCCUGCCGCUUCCCCCGUCCUGGCCAUUCACUCAAUCUGGCGUUAAUAACGUGGCACAAAAUUUACAAGGGAAGUGCAGAUGGAAAGAAUACUUGAGUUACCUUUACCUUGCCCUUGCCCUUAUUCCGAGCCGAUAAUCGCAAAGGAAAACGGAUGUCCAAUUAGUUGUGUGCCAGCUUCCGGCUCCAGCUCUUCCUGUGCACAUCCAGCUCAUCUUCGCCCGGUCUGAGCCUGUCAAUUGCAGCAGCUUCCAUUCGGAGUCGAGCCAAGUCGAUUGCCAGUUGGAGGCCAGGCGACGCACAGCCUCGCCCCGCACCGCCCCGCCCGUCAUUGUUGCCGGUUGGACGCCAAUGGCAUAAUUUUCAUAUUUGCUUGCCAGUCAAUUGCCAACAAUUUGCAUAGUUUGAUGUAUGCAUGUAUGUAUGUAAAUAUGGCUUAUCCCGGUCCCUAAUCAAUGCCUAUUUAUGUUCGAAAUCCGUUUGGCUUUGCCAGUGACGCGCUUAUCACGCUGCAUGCUCGUCGGGCUAAAAAUUGAAUAAAGGAUUUAGGGCCUUAAAUUGGAGGUACAGCCGCCGACUUGCCACGUCAAAUGCCAGUGUCUCAGAGUGUGCGUGUUGUGACUCCACCAAGGAUCUCCGCGCGUGUGUGUGUGUGUGACAGGAAGCCAAACAAAAGCAACAUGUGUAACUUGUAUGGCCUGGCAGCGUCAAAAGGCGAGAGGCUGGAAAAAUCUAUUAGAACGUGUCUUGCCUGCCAACCCGAUACUUCGUUACCCAUUCGCCCAGCCUCUGCUCCAUUUUCCCGCUUAUAUUUCACCCGAGGGCAUAAUAAGCUUGCCUCUGCCUGCCACUUUUUCGAAGAGGAAAACCUCUCCGCCUCUCUGUCCCUCUGCUUUUCUUUUUCCCUUUCUUUUUUUUAUUUAUUUCCACGUGCGUCUGUGUGCCUGAGAUAUUUACUUAUGAUUGAGUUGCGUGGCGGCAGAAGAGGAAACAUCGAGGGCACGCCACCCUCGAAACAAUUUGGUAAGAGAUUGCGGUUGCUUUACUGAUUUUCUCACCCAUUUUGUGUGCGCUUUCGCCCCAUUUUACCCGACCGUUCGUUUCCUCCCUCUUCCUGCUGCCGGCCUGCCGGCCCGCCUGCCAGCCAGAGUGUGUGUGAGAGAUGAAAAUUUAAAUUGAUUUUGCAUUGUUUGACUGUCAUUGUUGUUGCCCUCAUCGCCGGGCUGUUGGCUGUUGUUUUUCUGUUUUUUGUUGUUUUUGUAUAUGGUGGUUCUCGAUAAAAGCGAAGCAGCUCUGGUUCUACAUGGGUGGAAAAUUAUUAUAAAUUUCAAUUUGUGCAUCAUAAACGUAACACCGAAUUGGUUUCGGGAUUCCCUCACCCGAUUCUCUUUGUUGGCUAGCUGGACAGUACUGUUGCCUUUUGGGAUGAUCUUUCAUACCAAGAGGUAUCACCAUACGAUUACAGGUAAAAUACGCAGCCUAAAUAACAGAAUGGAGAUUAAGUGGGCUGACUAUUGUUGUCAUGCCGGAUUUUAUUGGAAAUAUUCAGUCUUGGCUCGGACUUGCUCUCUGUUCGUAUUUUCCGGGUUGAGAGGCUUGACUGCACUGGGAUUUUUAGGUGUUGUAGGUAGGUCUGCAUACACUCCUCCUGCAGCCAUGGAUAGCGGAUCUAUAAAUUCAAGGCCUUGGACACGUCAAUUAUCCAAACGGCUUAUGCUUUUCUGAUAUUCUCGGAGCCUUACGGAGAUCCAAGGUCUUGCCAGACGUUUCCCCAGAGCUUUGAUCUGCCUCGAAUUGUACUCCCCUCUUCUUCUAUAUGGCUUGACUCACCCCAGCAUUGUGAUGCGCUUUGUUUAUGUGCGACCCAAGAAUCAUUUGUUUUUAUAUGAAAUUGUUUUACGCUGUGGCAGCGAUCAACCCGGCGUCUGCCCCGCUCUCUGAUUACAACUACAAAACUGAUUCUUUGGUUUCCUUUUUGCCGGGCUGUUUGCUCUCUGCUUUCUUUGGCUGUUCAUACAAAUGUUUAUCGACUUGUGCGUUGAUUUUCCGCUUGCUUUGGUUUUACAGCAGCCCCAGCCCCAGUUCCGGUCCCAUUUUCAUCCUUCGAGGAUUUUUCGGCAUAUCCAUGUCAGAACGGAGCCGUAGCACGUGCACGGUAGGGUUAAGCGUUGCUGCUACCCAUUCCCAUUCCCAUUCCAUCCCUGACAUGUCUGGAGAGUGUGUGGUACAGAGUGGGGUCUGCAUUUGGGGCUAUGGAUUGGUAAUUGAAUUUAUUGUUUGACAUUCAAAGUACCGUUGAGUCAAUUACGCUGGAAAAUUGGUAUCAAAAUAUUUACGAGCUGUUUAUUGCAUUACGCAAAUUUGAUGCCCCCUCCAGGCAAACCAAUUCAAUCCCCAGCCCGAACUAAAAAUGAGAAAAGGUAACGCAAUUUACAUGCUGAUGCCAGGGCUCCCCCGAGUGGUUGCAAGGCUACAUACAUAUAUAUUCUCAAGAAAAAUUACAUAAAGGUUAAACGAAAAAGGAAACUUGUCGAGGUGUAAGCUGCCCGUGUGCGUCAAUUAAUUGAACAGAUGGAUUUCCCUGCAUGCGCUGCAAUAGAUCAAGAAUGAACUGCUUGAAUUCCGAAACAAAUGCCAUCCAAUACUUACACUUAAUGGGCUUACGGGCCACCUUCUCGUUGAGUGUCAGCAGGUCGGACUUGACGGUGUCAUUACUGAGCACAUUAUCCAUGCAAAAGAAUCCAUUGCGCAGCUGCAUCGGCAAGUGUUCCUGGAUCAUCUCGAGGGACUUGGGAUUGUCCGCCAGACGCGUGUAGAUGUGCAAGACAUGUUGCAGGAUACGAGGAUCCGGCUCCAGCGUCUGUUGAUGGAUGACGCGGCCCAGAGUGUUGAUAAGAUGGGUUCGACGGGACAGACGACGGGUGACAAACUUCAGGCCCACCGCAUUGUCCAGGAUGCGGUAGAGAAUAAACGAAGAGAGUGUUUUGCUCAUGCUCGAGCCGUGCUCCAGCUGGCGCAGGAGUUGAGGAAUCAUCUCGGCGGCUAUUGUGUAGCAGAUGAUCUCCGUUGUGUUCUUUUUCAGCAGGCCACAGAUGAUGAUCAGGACCGAGAGUCGCACUUUCUCGAUGGGAAGCGUUUUCUGGGUCAGCUUCAGCAGUGGCAUCAGAUAGUAGAACACGUGGGUGCGCAUCAGCAGCACUCCAGUAUCCGGAUGCUUGGCCAUGGACAAGAAGAGGCUGAGGGCCGCGAAAACGCGCUGCGACUGCUGUUCAUCCAAACUGUUGGCCGACACCGCCGGAUAGACGUCAGUCACCUCCUGCAAUAGCCCGGCCACAGUGCCAAACGACUGCCACAGCAUGGGACCGAGAUUUACGAUUAUUUGGCGACGCUCGCAAAGCUCUAGCAUGGCCAAAGGACGGUUCUCCUUGUUGCACAGGUCCAAAAUCCAUCCACAGAUGUACUCGGCCUCGGCCAAUUCCCCGAUAUCAACUUCUGAAUCGCUCAUCUUGUUUGCUUUAAUUGUUUAAUUUUCCUUUUAAUUUUCCCUGCGGCUGUCACCUGUCUCUUCGGUGGCAGAAUGGUAAUUGUUUUCUGUCAAUAUGAAAGUCGGCCUUCUGUCUGUUUUCUCUGCGGUGCAGUGCAAUUUUUGUUGACCACUUUGUUUGGGUUAUAAGCCGAGAAAUCUUGCACCUUUCAAGCAGAUGUUGCGUUUAGCCCAGACAGAAAUUGGAGACUGGCCUCAUACUAAAACAAUGAGAGUAAACAGAUUCUAUAGCCACAUCAAAUUGCAUUGCUUUAUAAGCCAGACUAUUUUUGUUUUCACUAAUUGAGAGAUGUCACUACUAGUGUUGGAAAAGUUAUGAAUGUAAUUUAGUUUCAAACACCAGAGGGUGACAAUGUUAUAAAAAGAAUAUUAAUUAAUGCACUAAAGUCCUCGAAAUUGCGGAAUUAAAUAAAGCCGUAUGACACUAGACUUUAGAGAGAGAUACUAUGAGAGACAGAAAUUGAAUCUUAAAAGUGUGGCUAUCGAAUAUUUCUGCCGCAGCUGGCGCAUAUAACUUUCUUGCUCUCACUGCAAGCUUUUCCCAUAAGGCUGUCCAAAGUCCAAUUUCAUCAGGCUAUAAGUAAUUUAUAUCGUUAUGGUAUGCCUGGAGUAUUUGAGUUUUCUUUGAACAAACUCACAUUGAAAAAUGCAUUCGCAUUUCAAUCUUAAUAAAGCCGUCAGUCAAAUACUGCAUUAUUUACCAAACCAAAGUCUGUGCACACUAGCCAGGCGACAUUAACGGUACAAAUAUAUGCAUAUGCAUAUAUCUCGUUGGACGACCAGACAGGCCAUUGGAUAAAUGAGCUGAUGAGUUGCAGUUAAUUAGAGCGAAUUCAUCACUCACUUGCAACACCCACUCCCCACUCUCCACUCCCCAAUCCCCGCCCCUCACACGACCGUCUGUACCACCCAAAUGAAUUAUGCAUAACAAUGUGGGCAACAAGAACAACAUGGGGCUAAAGCUAAACCAUGCAAUUAAAUGCAAACAAUUUUCCAUAAAUUAUGUGCGGCAGCAACAGCAGCAGCAGCGUCACCCCGAAUAUGUACGAAUAUAUGUAUGUACAUAUGUAUAUGUAUAUGUAGAUCCAUGAAGCGACUAAUGCAAAACGGAAGCGGAAAUCUGUUUCGGUCUUCUGCAUGCGUGGACGUACCCCCCUACUUGCCCGAUUGUGUAUGAGUUUGUGCCGUGCCGGCGUGUUAAUUGGCAACAACUCUAUUAUUAGAAGAAAAAUAUGCUGACCCGUCAAUGGCAGCAAUUUGCCUUGCUAAUUUUCAUGGCGGUCAAAAAAACCGUGGAAAUCCAGGCAAAUAUAGAGGAGAACACAGGAAAAUAUUCAAACACUGGUAUCGGGGGAGGGGGUGGGGCAGCUGUGACAAUUCCCAAAAAUAUAUUUGCAUAUACCAGAUCGAUGUAUAUUAAUGCAAUUAAGUGAUGCAUCCAAAAUUUUCAAAUAAACAAAUGCGCAAAAAGCAGUUUUCUCCUCGCAACUCCCCUCCGUCCCCGAGGUUUCAUUUUCCUCUCGGUCGAAAAGUAUUAACUGCAUUUUCUGGAUAAUUAGGCAGGUCAGUCGCAAUCGGAAUUUCCGGUUGCGUUGUUGCCCUUAUUCAAAGUUUCGAAUCGCAUUGGCAAAUUACAAAUUUCACGCUACGCCAGGCAAAACGCCAAAUAGUUGUGCCUUUUAAUGAAUCGACUAAAAUGGUACCCAUUCUCUGAAAUACUGAAUUAUUAUUAAUCCUCCUCUCAGUGAAUGAAUGCCAUGGAAAGCAGCAAAGUAAAAGUACUAGUAAAUGAUAAUUGAUGCUCCCACAGGUCACAUUGAGUGCAGGGCACAUCGUUAUUAGCUGCUGUCCAACCCAGGCCACUCAACCAAAAUGCCAAAAUUGCAUUUGGAGACUACACACACCACACCCACGCCACGCCACGUCACGUCACGCCAGAAGGCACCACGCACUGCUAUUGAAAUACGCACCUCACCACAUCAGAGGGCCUGUCAUACCUGGGGCCUAUGGUAUUUUGUCUAAUUUAAAUUAAUAUUAUGCCAAGCAUCAGCAGUGGCGGCAGUGCAUGCCAGAGGCAUUUCGGCCUUUAUAUCCUUUGGCCCUUUUUGGGGCCGCCAGACAGGACAGCAGAGCCAACAGCCAACAGCCAACCCAUUGGCCAUUGUUCGUCGGCCACGGCAAAUUGAAAUUGAAACUGCAACCGGAUGUAAUUGGGCUUGCAUACGUUCGUUUCGAUUUGGUUUGGGCUCCGUUCCGCUUAGGUUUCUGCUCUACUCUUUCCUGUUCUGCCAGUCUGUUUGUCUGUCUGUCCGUUGAUAAUAUCAUUGAUAGCUUUUGCCACAAUUCGUAACCGCAAUAAGUUGUUGUUGGUCACAGUUGGAGCGGCAAAAAAGGACCGACCGUCCAUUACCUAUGAGACUACGAGCAUGUAUAGACGACUGUCCACUCCCACAUGGCCAUGAGGUUGUUCUGUUCUGUUCUGUUCUGUUCUGUCCACUCGCUCAUGGCUCUGAGUGUUGUGUGUUUCUGUGCUGAAUGGCAACUGGAAAUUGGAAAUUUUAAGCUACCUUUAUCUGUUGAAUGGCUUGUUGAUUAUUACCGAAGCUGGCGAAUGGAUUUGCAGUUGCUUCAUUUGUGGAAAUUAAUGAACCAACACACCUAAGCUGCCUUCCAUUGUCUACUGCAUUCUCUGUGUGCAUCAAAUACGUUUUGGAAUCUGCCAUUGUCUGUGUAUGACUGAGUGGGUGGAACCCACAAGAAAGAUAUUUGGUAACGAACAUUGCACCAACUGUAGCAAUGCAUAAUAAAAACAGACCAGAGAUGGGGAUUGCUUUACCCUUUUUUUUAAUAUACCUACUCUGAACUGCAAGCGAAGAGACAGAGAGAGAGAGUGAGAUUUUAUUGCAUUAUACUAUUAAAUAUACAUUUGAAAACAAUUUAAAACAUGUAUAGUAGUACAUAGUAGUAUAUUUUCAGUGCACAUCUGCAUUAGAAGUGCACAAUGGUCCUCUGAGCACUUGCUCCCUGGGAUAAACUUUGUUUGAUUAACUUUUUGCCACCGAAUAAGCAACAGGGAAAACCCCAAAAAGGAACACGCCACACAGACACAGCAAACAGCACCACAGAAGCACACAGAAACAGAAGCAGAAACACGCAGAACAAGAAGCCCCAACAAGGCAGGCCCCAGUGCCAGCGAGUUGGAAAACUAAAAAGUGUCGCAGCAAUUGUUUUGUGACUUGUAACUGUUUGCAAUUGUUAAACUUUGGUCAAUAAUAUCACCUGCGCCUGUCCACAACCCACAACAACACUAAACUGCAUUUAGCAUCAGAAACAAUGCGGCGUCUGUUGCGGGGGAAGAAAGAGGUUGCAGGAGCUGCCGGGCGCCGGGCGCCAUGCGCCAUGCGCCAAGUGGCAAGUAGCAAGUAGCAAGGGUAAUGCAACAAGUACAAAGCUGCACGUAUUUACCAUCUACUAAGUAUUUUCUAUGACUUUGUGCCAUUGUUUUUAUUUUUUAUUUUUUUCCAGUAGCUUGCGUUUUUUUCCACACCCUUCCACAGGGUGUUAGGAUUUUCGGCAGGCAGCUAUGUGGAUGCUACAGUGCACAUUCGGAACACCGCCUAGAACACUAUAAGGACUAUAACGAUCUGUCGGCUGGUCAACUGACUUUGAUAUGAUGGAUAUCUGCCAGUGUAUCAACAGCUUCGGCUUUUCUUUUUGAUUUGUAUUCUUUUAGAGGUUUACUCGAGCAUUAAAUAAGUCAAAACACUCACACAAAU